rnacentral:rRNA from 1 species
AAACUGGGAUUAGAUACCCCACUAUGCCUAGCCGUAAACCCUAAACUACUACUAAAUCGCCAGGGAACUACGAGCAAAGCUUAAAACCCAAAGGACUUGACGGUACCCCAUAUCCCCCUAGAGGAGCCUGUCCUAUAAUCGAUACUCCACGUUAAACCUCACCAUUUCUAGUUUAUCAGCCUGUAUACCUCCGUCGUCAGCUUACCGUGUGAACGACCCCAGUGAGCUUAAUGGUUCUACACCAAUACGUCAGGUCAAGGUGCAGCAAAUGAAAUGGGAACAGAUGGGCUACACUUUUUAAUUUAAAAAAAACGAAAGACUUUAUGAAACCUAGUCAGAAGGCGGAUUUAGAAGUAAGGAGAAAUCAGAACAUUCCCCUUAACCCGGCGCUGGGGUGUGUACACACCGCCCGUCACCCUCA